GUUGCCAGGUAGCCAGCAGCAGAGAGGAGGCCGGGAACCGGCAAGGCCUAAAAAUAAAGAUGUCGGGGCUUUUAGGUGCUCGUGUGUAGCAGGCAAAAUAGAGUAAGGCUGCAUUAAGGUCGCUGCAAUUAUGGGGUGUUUAUGUUACGCAGACUUUGAUCACCUGUUAAAAUUAGCACGUUUUUUUCUAAGCAACAGAAACAACCCAAACGUGACAGUAGGAAGAUUUUCUAAAUCAACACGAGCGUGAGACAAAAAUGCAGGAAAGGAGAUAAAUUGUUAUGAACAUGUGAAGAAACUGACAGAUGAAAGAUUAAGAGCCUUCUGAACCUUUGCGUUAGUGGUCAGAAAGCAUGGCAGCUCUGCUGGUUUGCAUUGCAGGGUCAGAACUGUCCUGAGGAGAGAAAUGGAAGCUUUGUUUUCAGCUAACAAAUGGGGUGAGCUGUGAUGAGGCAUCUACCUGGAGCUGAACGCAAGCAAGCAGUGGUAAAAACAAGGGGUAGUCCUGCACUGGUCCUUCGAAUGAGGACGAGUUUCUCCUUUAUAGAACAAAGAUUGAAUGUGCAGCACCAUCCCUGUUGACUGAAUAUACUGCACCUCCCAGUUCUGAAUGGAGCCCCACAGGAAGGCCCCAGCUGUAGCGUGAAUAAGUGUACAGUGAUCAGUACUGAAAAAAGUGAGUUGCAAACUAUAGUUUGUAGGGACUAUUAGUGUCCUCUCGGAUAUCUGCAGGAGCAACUUAUGACUCAAGUGAAAUAUUCUUUCUUCGGGAAGCUACAUUUCAUCUAUAAAGACUUAUAGAACUAUUAAGGGAUGCCUUAAUUGCCACGCAUUAUUUUAAAACAAAAUUUUAAUUGUUUGUCUUAAGAUAUACAAACUACAUCAGAUUAUUUCAUUUUAAAAGAAUUGGAGAGUUACACUGUAAGAUCUGCCUGUGUACUGGGCAGAGAAUGUGAGAACUGGAAGCUCUACCCUCAUUCAGGACAAUAAAGAUAGUAAUCCUGAAUAGUCCAAACUUGGCUGGAGACUUAGACAUGGCUGUUCCUUUCUAUUGUCUCCUGAUGUAAUAGUCCUAUUUUGUACGAAUAAAUAACAACAAGGACAGAAAGAAAGUCCUCCGUAUUUAAGAGCUUCUCGCGGGAUGAGGACGAUUGAGCUUCACCUACACACUGCAUCGAACAGAGCUGAACUUUUCCAGCUGUUGGACCAUUCCAUUCCCACAUUUCUUGUAGGAAACAGCAGAGCACUGGAAGCUGUGUUUGCUGUGUCCCAGAUUGGUCCUUCACCCACAAAACGCUGCCUGUGAUAAAAGUGCUAUCAGCCAGGAAUUCCAACCAAGAUCAGCCCUAUUCAGAGUAGCUGAAGAAUCCUGUCUGAGGAAUUUGCAGACCCUUAUGAGAAACCAGAAUAUAAAAAGUUAUCAUUUCUCAGAACUUUGCUAAGUUUAGAUUUCUUUUGAUGCUCCCUUAACCCUGGCCAUAUUUGUUCUCAAAAUGAGAGCACAAGGAAAGCCCAGUGAAACUUCAAAGUUACCUCAAGAUAUUAAUAACUCAGAGAUGCUAUCAUUGCUAGCAAGGAAGAGGAUACUGCAGAACAUAUUUGAAUUUUUCUGGUUUUGUGAAAGCCUACAGACCUGCAGCAUCUAUUAGAUGAACUCACCACAGCUGUGACCAAAGUGCACAGGUACAUCUUGGCUAAGUCAGACAAAGGAAUACUACAAAUGAACCCAGGUCAAAUAAAGGAGUGAGUGCAAAAGAUACCUCUACGGGUAGAUUCUUCUUUGGCUAGAAGAAUCUUACUGGCAAAACAAAAAUACAGAAGCUAUAUAAAUGUGUAUAAAUAUAUGUGCACUCCACAGAAAAUGGCAAACACCAUGAAGCAUUGUUAUUAGCCAGCCGGACUACAAAAUAAAUGAUUUUUCUAGCAUUUCUUACCAAAAUGUGAUUGUAACUGGAAGUGACACAUUCUUCUAAAUAAAAACUUUGUCAUAAAAACCAUCAAAUAGGAAUAAUCUAAAGUUUGAAAAUUUGAUUUCUAGCCCUUCACUGCCUACAUGUGGGAAUUAAACAUACAGAUAUUUCAUUCCUGGCACAUUGGCACAUUGAAGAGGUAUUUAGAAGACAGUUUCCUCUCUCUGCAGACUUUGCUGCUUCAGAGAACAGUGCGACUUUCACAGGUAUAUAUUAACAUAAAAAUCUUAGAUAUUCUAAGUGGUUUGGUUGUUGUUCACCUUUUUUCAGUGCAAUUUUGGGAUCAUUAGACCUCAUAUGUUCAUUAAAAACUUAAGCUAAUGGAUAGGAACCAGGCUUUUCUGUAAGAAAAAAUACUGCACAUCUUGAUGUCCCAAAGAAACAUAAGGAUAUUGAGGACAGGAAAAAAAAAGAAAAAGAUAUCUCUUUCUGAAGAGGAAUCUUCAGAAUAAGAAUAAGAAUAAGAAUAAGAAUAAGAAUAAGAAUAAGAAUAAGAAUAAGAAUAAUAUCUUCAGAAAGCAACCUAAUUUGCUUUCUGUUUUUAGUUUUGCAUGUAAAAAAUAUUUAGAAUGUAUUUUCUGUAUUUUCAAAUCCAGUGUUUCUGAAAAAUUGGAAUGGGAUGAAAAGAAAUUAGUACUAAAAUGUUCUGUACAAUUAGAAUAAACUGUGAAGUUUCAGACUAGAACGGCCCAUCUAACUCUGACGUUCAGUCUAACUUCAAAGCUGGCUCUGUCUGUGUGGCAGCUUCGACCAGAUGACUCUAAGGAGGUCCCUACCAACCUAAUUUGCUCUGUGAUUUUCUUUCCAAUGCCAAGCAUUGCAGACUAACAGUAGCGUCUUACAAUCUCAUGAGUACACCCUAAUACAAUGACUCUUCUUCAAGUUCUGCCCACUGUUCUUUGCAAAAUCUGUUUUCAAAGCAUACCUUACAUUGCACAGCCAUGUCCCCAGCCAGUCAUCCUUCAGGCUCCCACACAUUACAAAGUCCUUUAUCAUUUCCUAAGAGCAUCCGUCAACUCACAUCCCUUCCAAUCCUGAAGCUGGAGGAACCCUGAUGGAAUUUUGCCUGAAGAAGGAACUUCUGCACUUCUGUACUAAAAAGGGCCAUUUCCUGACUUAGCGCUAACUGCUGAACUUAUGCCAAAGUCCAUUUUUAUUUGUUCGGUUUGGCAUUUCCAAACUUUGCAAACAACAAAAAUUUGCACUUCACCUGCUCUCCUUCCCAGUUCCCAGGCAC